GCAGCAGCCACGGGAAUACGUAGGUGGCAAGCGUUGUCCGGAAUUAUUGGGCGUAAAGCGCGCGCAGGCGGCCUAUCUAGUCUGUCUUAAAAGUUCGGGGCUUAACCCCGUGUGGGGAUGGAAACUGCUGAUCUAGAGUAUCGGAGAGGAAAGUGGAAUUCCUAGUGUAGCGGUGAAAUGCGUAGAUAUUAGGAAGAACACCAGUGGCGAAGGCGACUUUCUGGACGAAAACUGACGCUGAGGCUCGAAAGCCAGGGGAGCGAACGGGAUUAGAUACCCCCGGUAGUCCCUGUCUCUUAUAC
rnacentral:rRNA from 1 species